GUCACUAAACUAAAAAUACCGCGAUAAUUUUUCUCAAUAUCGAGAAUUUUCAACACAAAAACACAAUUGUUGAUCGAAGACAAAAACUGAGAGCCAUUACCAAAUUUGGAAAAAAUAUCAAAAAAGCUUUAGCUAACCGAACGGUGAAUCAUAACUGAAGUUCAAUUAAAAACAUCGGACUGUUGAUGCUGAUACCCAAUAG